GCUCAUGGUGGACUAGCAAAGAGUUGAAAAAGUCCAACAUCGUCGAAAAUUUGUGAUGGCCAGUAUUCUGCUAGUGUAGGGAAAUGUAAUAUUGUUAGUGUUGGACAAAGCACGCAACACAUACAAGUUCAUUGUACAUACCAGAGUCUUGUUUCAAACUCUAUAUACCAGAGUCUUGUUCCAGAAGAGUCUAUUACUGAGUUUUGUAGAAAGAAAGCUUAGAGAUGGCUUGGCCCGGAAAUGACCUCAAUGCCCAUGUCAACAAGAUCCGGAAUGAUGAAUACGACCGCCGGCUGUGCGCUGCUGAGACUGAAGAAGAAAGGAGGGCGAUAGAAAGGGCCCAGAUCAUGUUGGAUGAGCCAGCACUGCUGCCGGCAGAACUACCAAGACUUCCUCAGUGGCCACCAGUAGCGCCAGCACGACGACCCCAGGCCCAGGUCAUGUUGGCGGCAAGAGCACCGGCGCGGGGUGAACAGCCAGGAAAUCAGCCGCCACCAGUAGCUCCACCACCACCACCCCGCGCCCAGGUCGUGUUUGCUCCAGGAGCGCAAAGACGACCCUACGCCCCAAUGGUCGUGUUGGCCCCGCCAGCAGUGCCGCGGGCAGAACAGCGGAGACAGCAGCGGCCGCCAGUAGCGCCACGACGAGGCCAGAUUGAAGGGGCAAAGAAACGGCGCCAAGCCUAGCCCUCUACAUGUAUAUGUCUUCAAAUUAGUCCUCGUCUUAUCUAAUUUCAUAGAGUAUUCGUCAUAUUCGUGCAGUAUUCGUCAUACUUUAUAGAAUAUUAGUAUUCGUCAUUAUUCGUCCAGUAUUCGUCAUACUUUAUAGAAUAUGAGUAUUCGUCAUAUUCGUCCAGUAUUCGUCAUACUUUUGAAAAAUAAAUUUGUAUCACAAUUU